rnacentral:lncRNA from 1 species
AGGAAGGCCACCCAGAGCCCAGAAAACAGAGGCAACCGGCCAGUGUUUGCCAAAUGAAGGCUGACGGAGCUGAAUGCUUUGGUGAGAGAGGAAGGAGAUUACGCAUGUGCAAAACAUGGCAUCCGCUUUAAUAAACAGCGAUUCCACAAGGUAGGUGGCACCCCGACUGACAAGGAAACUGAGGACCAGCAAAGAAACAAUCCAAGGUGUGAAGAGAAGGGACUGGAACCGGGACGAGCCCGAUUCCAACACUGCACCUCUUUCCACUCAGCCGCGGAGAGAGUACAAGCACAAAGCAUGUAUUCCAAGGGGAGACUGACAGUCCGUCCUGCCCUCACGCUCCACUUUGAAAAUAACAACAGCAAAGCAUAAGAAAAGAUCUCUUAAGAACAGACAUCCUACUAUCUCCAGG